GAUAGUCCCGUAGUUGACGACGUGUGUUCAGUGAAAUCGAGUAGGGCGGGACACGUGAUAUCCUGUCUGAAUAUGGGGGGACCAUCCUCCAAGGCUAAAUACUACUGACUGACCGAUAGUGAACCAGUACCGUGAGGGAAAGGCGAAAAGAACCCCUGUGAGGGGAGUGAAAUAGAACCUGAAACCGUGUACGUACAAGCAGUAGGAGCAGGCUUGUCCUGUGACUGCGUACCUUUUGUAUAAUGGGUCAGCGACUUAUAUUCAGUGGCAAGGUUAACCAUCUAGGGGAGCCGUAGGGAAACCGAGUCUUAACUGGGCGUUCAGUCUCUGGAUAUAGACCCGAAACCAGGUGAUCUAGCCAUGGGCAGGUUGAAGGUUGAGUAACAUCAACUGGAGGACCGAACCGACUAAUGUUGAAAAAUUAGCGGAUGACUUGUGGCUAGGGGUGAAAGGCCAAUCAAACCUGGAGAUAGCUGGUUCUCCCCGAAAGCUAUUUAGGUAGCGCCUCGGACGAAUACUACUGGGGGUAGAGCACUGUUAAGGCUAGGGGGUCAUCCCGACUUACCAACCCUUUGCAAACUCCGAAUACCAGUAAGUACUAUCCGGGAGACACACGGCGGGUGCUAACGUCCGUCGUGGAGAGGGAAACAACCCAGACCGCCAGCUAAGGUCCCAAAUUACUACUAAGUGGGAAACGAUGUGGGAAGGCUCAGACAGCCAGGAUGUUGGCUUAGAAGCAGCCAUCAUUUAAAGAAAGCGUAAUAGCUCACUGGUCGAGUCGGCCUGCGCGGAAGAUGUAACGGGGCUAAGUA
rnacentral:rRNA from 1 species